rnacentral:rRNA from 1 species
GAUGAACGCUAGCGGCAGGCUUAAUACAUGCAAGUCAAGGGGGUAGCAAUACAACCGGCGCACGGGUGAGUAACGCGUACACAACAUACCAUAUACUGGAGUAUAGCUUUGGGAAACUGAAGGUAAUCCUCCAUAACAUUGCGAGAGGGCAUCUGAUUGCAAUUAAAGUUUCGACGGUAUAUGAUUGGUGUGCGUUUGAUUAGCUUGUUGGUAGGGUAACGGCCUACCAAGGCGACGAUCGAUAGCUGGCGUGAGAGCGCGACCAGCCACACUGGAACUGAGACACGGUCCAGACUCCUACGGGAGGCAGCAGUAGGGAAUAUUGGACAAUGGGCGAAAGCCUGAUCCAGCCAUGCCGCGUGAUAGAUGAAGGCCCUCUGGGUUGUAAAUAUCUUUUAUCUGGGAAGAAACUCCUCUAUUCUUAGAGGCCUGACGGUACCAGAGGAAUAAGCACCGGCUAACUCCGUGCCAGCAGCCGCGGUA